CCAAACUUGACAUAGAUUCAGGUGAUUACUUUUGGAACGAUUAGCCAUUGACUGCACCAAAUGUCAGUGUGCGAGUGGGUUUAUUUUGACAAUGGAGCACCGGACUACAGCCAUAUCAUUUUCAACCUAGGAGUCUGAAGUAAUGUCUAGUUGGUAAGAAAAGUAUGGUUUGUAAUCUGAUUUAUUGGAGCCUGGCGGAGAUAGAUGCAAACAUAAUCUAAUGUAGGAAAUGUCUCUGCAUCCAAGUUGAGGCUUGCUAUCAGCAGGAACAUGGACCACUCCGUGCCAGUGUAACAGAGACAGACUGGUCCAAGGACCUCCAGAGCCUUCUGACCAACUACCUGCGAUCUCUCCAGAGCACAGAAAAGUGAGUCUGCUGGGCUAUGGAACUGUAGAGCAACACAUCAAAAAACCUGCCACCCUGUUGUCAGCUAUCCGCAGACUUUCAAUGGCCACAUUUUGGGGAUGACCAAAUGCAAUAACGUUUUGUAUAAACAACUCAUUAAAAAAAAUGUAUUGCAAGAUUACAAAACUGUAACUUUUUCAUAGCAUGUUUGUCAUGUUGGUCUUCAAGUUUUUACUAACUUCUGUGAUAACUUCAACAUCAAGAUUAAAUACACUUAGAGCUUAUGAUUUAAAAGGUCUAAAAUAAGUGCAAGUCUCAUGUCCAGAGUGAAUACAUUUUUAUUCAUGUAUAUCAUACAGGUGUCUUAACUAAAUAUAAAUCCAAGACAAUAUUAAAUAAUGGGACAAAGUGGUUAGAUACAAAACAUGUUGACAGAAUGGCUGCGAGACAGAGAGAUUGUUGCUGUACUCCCAGGUAAGGCCUAUGCUUCCGGAACCACAGAAGACCCCACUAUUCAGUUAGGAAGCUUGAAGAUGUGUGUCACCAUCCAAGCCCAUGUCACAGCAUGCAGUGAUAUGAUAGGGAGAUGACAAUAAAUGCAUAAUGUACAGUGCAUUCAGAAAGUAUUCAGACCAUUUUACUUGUUCCACAUUUU